UACGAAGGGGGCUAGCGUUGUUCGGAAUUACUGGGCGUAAAGGGCGCGUAGGCGGCGCAUCAAGUCAGGCGUGAAAGCCCCGGGCUCAACCUGGGAACCGCGCUUGAGACUGGUGGGCUCGAGUUCGGGAGAGGAUGGUGGAAUUCCCAGUGUAGAGGUGAAAUUCGUAGAUAUUGGGAAGAACACCGAUGGCGAAGGCAGCCAUCUGGGACCGACACUGACGCUGAGGCGCGAAAGCGUGGGGAGCAAACAGG
rnacentral:rRNA from 1 species